CUUCUUGAUUCUUGCUCUCGUCUCCUCCACGUGCUUGAUCUCUAGAGAAUUCCCAUUGCACCAGGUUGUCUCUCACGCGCUCAAGGCCAACUCUUUUCCUUUCCUAGCGCCCAGGUUCCCUGCCCUAGCGUCUCCCACCUCCUGCCAAAGCUCCCUGGCCGACGCCAUAGUGCCCAGCCUCUGUACCGCCGCGUCCUGCACUUGGCGCUCGUCCUCACCCUUCUGUUGACCGCCCUUGCUCCCUGUUGCGUCCCUCCCAUGGCUGCCUCUCUUCAAUCUCCUCCCUCCCCAGCCAGGUGCCCAGCCCUAGAUGUCCAUGGCGCAGGAGCACCCCAUCUCCUCUGCCACAAUUUUCGCCCUCCAAGCCGAUGCCCAAACCAUGGCGCCCUGGACACCAUUCAUCUCCCUGGUGGCCGAGCCUGGCCCCUGUGCCCAGCACAUGCCCAAGGAUAUGGAGCAGCAAUAGCCAUGAAGCCCCUUCGUGUCGCGUCCUCGGCGUGUUCGACAAAAUAUCGCAGCGUGCUACAUCCGAUCUGUGCAGCCCUAUUGUGACCUCAUCGCACCCCGGUGAGGACCCGUUUCUCAUUGUGUUCAUUCCUUGCCAGUACUAAUACCCAAAAUCAAGUUAUCAGAUCCUAAUGUUAUGUAUAUGUGUGUGCGUAAUGUGCGAGAUGUGAAGAAUUUCAUAUUUAUCAGGCGAGGCAAGCUGUGCGACAAGUGCCAGAUGUUCGAUAGAAGACUUCAAUCAAAGGCUAUCGUCGUUCGUACGAAUAUUGAGUUAAAUUGUGAUGUGGUACGUUAAUUAAUCACGUGAUGUGGAGGACAAGAGCUGGGUUGAUCACAAGACGAUGCUGAUAAACGAAGCUAAAGUGGAUGAGUCAACCAAGUGCCAGGAUGUGAGGUGCUCGCCAAGCGAGUAUCAUCUAACAACACUAACAUAGUGUUAUCCCAGGCAAGCCCCGGUGCAUUUGCCACCUCCCUUGUGUUUACAAAAUUUUAUCACUUAUAUGUUGCAUUAGGUGAUAGGAGUUGGUUGAUUAAACACUUGAUGCAUUACCAUCCUUGAAAGAUUGAUUACCAUACCUUGUCACCUGUUUUAUAAAAGCUAGAGAUGCUUAGUCAUGCUGAUAGACUAAGAAAAAUGUUUUUGAUCUAUGACUCAUGUUUUU